UCCCUGGUGGCUCAGAUGGUAAAGAAUCUGCCUGCAGUGCAGGAGAUCCGGGUUUGAUUCCUGGUUUGGGAA
rfam:TPA: Bos taurus chromosome 19, whole genome shotgun sequence.